GAGGGUAUAGCUCAAGUGGCAGAGUGCAUGCUUAGCAUGCACAAGGUCCUGGAUUCAACCCCCAGUACCCCUU
rfam:Camelus ferus unplaced genomic scaffold scaffold854, whole genome shotgun sequence.